rnacentral:piRNA from 1 species
UGGUGCUAAUACUGAGGACAUGGAUAA